CUGCUAGUGAACAUUGAAGAUAUCACACCUUUUUAUGAGUUGGAGUCAAUAUCUGCUAAUUGUCUGGUUGCUUACAUGUGGUUUCUCUUCAAAAAGAUGAAAAAAGAAAACAAGGUUGAUAAGUUCAGAUUUGUGGAUCCACAAACACUUCCAGUACAUGUGAUCAAUUUGCAGCUCCUAGCAACUUGUUACUUGCAAAAUGGAAAAGCAUAUUGUGCAUACCAAAUUCUCAAAGGUCGGGCAAUACGUGAGGCUUGAGUUUUUUUGAUGCAAGAAGUGAGCUUUGUUAGGA